AGUCACUGACAUUAGAUACCCCGGUAGUCCCAGCCGUAAACUAUGCUCGCUAGGUGUCAGGCAUGGCGCGACCGUGUCUGGUGCCGCAGGGAAGCCGUGAAGCGAGCCACCUGGGAAGUACGGCCGCAAGGCUGAAACUUAAAGGAAUUGGCGGGGGAGCACAACAACGGGUGGAGCCUGCGGUUUAAUUGGACUCAACGCCGGACAACUCACCGGGGACGACAGCAAUAUGUAGGCCAGGCUGAAGACCUUGCCUGAAUCGCUG
rnacentral:rRNA from 1 species